GCCCUUUACCAACUGAGCAACCUCUCAGCUCCUUGUCUUUCUUCUUUAUUGCAAUAGUAGUGUUAUCAUUUUAAGGAUGCUUUUGUAUAAUGCCAAAUAUAUGAUCUAUUGAUUCAACCCUAGGAUCACAAAGGAGGAGCUAGGUAGCAAGAUAUUCGUCACAACAGGCAGGCAUCGGUCUCACUGGGCUGAGACUCUUAGGACACUGACUGACACUGGCUGCUGCCUUUGGAGAGGCUGCUGGGCUCUCCAGGAGCCUUCGAGCCGAAGGUGACCAGUGUGGUCAUGACAAAUAGCAAGAUGUCAGGGAGGGCUGUACCCACAGUUCAAAACCUUAAUGCCUCACUUCCCUUCACUGGGUAUUCCUUUAUAUAUGACUAAUACCCUGGGAAGUCAGAGGGGGCAGGAUCUCUCAGCUGCUUCCACAGGGAAGGUUGGGUGCUGACGAGAGAGGACCAGAUGAACUUGGAAGUUCCCAUAACACAGGAAGCAACUACUUACAUAAAUAACUCCCAACCUCUAAUUGACUUGUGUUCUACCUGUGGGAAACUGAACUUAGAAUUUAUCUUGACCAAGAGUCUCAGGUAUGGAAGCUAGGCUAACCAGUAUCACUCUAUAAUUUGGUUACACUGGCUGUUAAAUGGAUUUUUGGGGGGUUAGUUAUUUCCUGACCCCAAAGCAUUACUUCCAGGAUGGGUGAUCUGAACCUCGAAUCUAAUUGCUUCAUGAUUUCAUUGCUUCUCUGUGAAAAUGGUUAUACUGGGUGGUCUGAACCUAGACUCUAACUGCGUCAUGAUGUCAUUGUUGCUAUGUGAAAAGGCUUCUAAUUCUGAUGCGGGAAUUUGAGAAUUUAUUUUCCACGCUGUUUUUCAGAAACACAGGGAGAAGUCACCCCUGCAGCAGGAGAAGAUUGUUCAGGGUUUUGAUGGUUCCAGGCAUGAGAGGAUGCGGAAGGAAGGUCUAGAGAGCCAGCUAUGCUGAGGGUGAGGGCAAGAGGGGCAUGCUGGGUAAGCUGGGGCUCAGCCAAUGGUAAGAACACAUCUUCUGUCUAAAUACUACUCAGAGACAGAACAUAGAACCUGUUCUAUGUUUUAAGGUUGCUAAAUCAAAAGAUCUUUCUAGUAGACUGAGCCAUGGUGUCCUUCGUGAGUGGCUUGCUGUUCUCAUUUGCAUAAUAACUAUUUCUUUGUUUAUGUGACACCCUACCAUCCCCAGAGAUUACAAAAGGUCUUGUGGAGACGGGGAACCCUUGGGCUACAUGCUUGCCACAAUUCUCAGCGUCAAGCCUUCUGGAUACUGCCAGCUCACAGUCCUGACCAAAAGCAGGUUUUAGAACUGGGUUGUUUCCGUGGUAACCAUUGAAGUCUUUGCGAUGUCCCGGAUGUGCCUAUGAGGCUGAGUGCCACAGGCUCUGUAGGGUGUGUGCUAUGGAAUGAGAGCUUUUCUGUGUGGGGUGUGAGGACAGAUAGUGCCCGUGUCGAGGAAGGAAAUCACGGUGUCAAGAAGUCUGUGAGGAAGACCGCCUCUCUUUCUGUUUCCUGGGAUGCCUUUCCUGCUAUCUUCCCCUGUCUCUGAGUUGUGACAGGACUUAGGUGAAGCGUCUCCUACCUCUUCGUGGUUCUUCUUGAGAUACGUCAUCUCCUCACUCAGUGAUUCAUACUGCAGCUCCUGGUCCGUUCUGCAGAGGGUCAGCUCAUCAAGGACACGGCGCAACCCAUUAAUGUCUGCCUCCACAUUCUGGUGUAGGGUGAGUUCGUUUUCAUACCUUGGGGGGAGGUGAAUUUAAAUGAAUUUCAGUGCAAGUUAGACCUCUCCAAGAACCUGAAGGUGUCAGCCUCAACCCAAUGUCAACUCGACAUCUGAAACCGAAUCAGGACUCUAAAUAGUAUAAAAAUCCACAGAAGAAGCUCUGUGUGGUAGCCUGUGUCUGUAAUCCAAGAGCUCAGGAGGCUGAGGCAGGAGGAUUGUGAGUUCUAUACCAGUCUGGGCUACCUGGUGAGACCGUGUUGUAAAACAAAACAGCUAUGCACAGACGCUUCCUUUGGUCUACACAGGACGAUGAGCCGCUAACCAAUCACACCGAUUCCAGUGCCUGUCACUGUUACUCCAAAGCACUCCUUUCUGUAAUCUUACCUAAGUUAACACUCUUAUGGAAUGAACACUAGCCACUGAACUAUGGUUACUUUGUGCUUGGUAUUAUUUUAGGCAGGCCUGGAGCUACGAGGACAGUUUAUUCCAUGGAUGCAAUGAAUACAUUACAUUUUGACUCAAGUUCACUGUUGUUUUGGAUCAGAAAUCCUUUGAUUCCUUUACUCUUUGGGGUUAUAAUUUAUUUUACUUGAGGUGAAAAGGAAACAUUUUUUUUUUAAACAACAUAGACUGACCGGAACUUCAUUUUGGGGCCAUGACUAUCAUUUGUUGCUUACUUUAGUCGGAAAUCAUCAGCAGCCAGUCUGGCAUUAUCAAUCUGCAGAAUUAUAUUAGCAUUAGCAGCCGUGGAAGAGAUA